GGCCUUUUUUUUUUUAAAGGUGGAAAGAGAAUAGCUGAAAUAAGAGAGCAGAAUUUUUAGGUGAAAUGGCAUCUUUCAUACGUGGGCAGGAAGAUUCCCAUGGAUGAAGAUUCUUCAGGUGGAAUGCAACAGUCUGAAACCCCGAAGUAGACAGCCACUGGUGCAGAGACAGAGUGUUUUCCCCUCUGCUUUCAUGCUUCCCAAACCUCAGGCAAUCUCGUGGUGGCUGCAGUGACUUCAGCGGCUGCAGUGCAAACAGAAAUUGCAGGGGCCAAACACUGGAGGAGAUUCUCUCUCUCAACAGAGCUGAAAAUCCAGGAGGAUGUGGGGAAAUCUUUCUGUCCUCCUGCCAUUUGGCCCAAAUUCAGAUGUAGUCCCAGAAGGGUGCAGGAGAGUAGGAUA
rnacentral:lncRNA from 1 species